GCAUAACGCGAAGAACCUUACCAGGCCUUGACAUGCAGAGAACUUUCCAGAGAUGGAUUGGUGCCUUCGGGGAACUCUGACACAGGUGCUGCAUGGCUGUCGUCAGCUCGUGUCGUGAGAUGUUGGGUUAAGUCCCGUAACGAGCGCGAACCCUUGUCCUUAGUUACCAGCACGUCAUGGUGGGCACUCUAAGGAGACUGCCGGUGACAAACCGGAGGAAGGUGGGGAGUGACGUCAAGUCAUCAUGGCCCUUACGGCCUGGGCUACACACGUGCUACAAUGGUCGGUACAGAGGGUUGCCAAGCCGCGAGGUGGAGCUAAUCCCAGAAAACCGAUCGUAGUCCGGAUCGCAGUCUGC
rnacentral:rRNA from 1 species